AGUAACGUAGUAUACCAAGUUUUAGCUUCUAACUAAAAUAGAGAAAAUUAAUUUCUGUUACUC
rnacentral:tRNA from 1 species